rnacentral:rRNA from 1 species
ACUCAAAGGAAUUGACGGGGACCCGCACAACCAGUGGAGCGUGUGGUUCAAUUCGAGACAAAGCGAAAAACCUCACCAGGGUUUGACAUGUAACCGUACAUUUCCCUAGAAAUAGGGAGAAAUCCGCAAGGAUGGUUACACAGGUGCUGCAUGGCUGUCGUCAGCUCGUGCCGUGAGGUGUUCCCUUAAGUGGGGAAACGAGUGCAACCCUCAUCCUGUGUUAGAUUGUUCACAGGAGACUGCCUUGUUUUUGCAAGGAGGAAGGAGAGGCGGACGUCAAGUCAGCAUGGCCCUUAUACCCUGGGCUACACACACCCUACAAUGGCGAAUAACAAUGAGUCGCAAGCACGCGAGUGCAAGCUAAUCUCACAAAUUUCGCCUCAGUUCAGAUUGGAGUCUGCAAUUCGACUCCAUGAAGGAGGAAUUGGUAGUAAUCGCGGAUCAGAAGGCCGCGGUGAAUGCGUUCUCGGGUCUUGCACACACCGCCCGU